UUGUGGAAAUGGGUAGUCGCUGUUUCCUCUGAGGAAAUAGAGGAAAGUCCGGACUCCAUGGAGGAUAAGUGUCAGAUAACGUCUGACGGCACCAGAUGGUGUUAGGGAAAGUGCAACAGAAAACAAACAGCCUUCGGGCAAUGGUGAAAUGGCGAGGUAAGAGCUCACCGCGUGACUGGUAACGGAAACGGCAUGGCAAACCCCACUUGGAGCAAGGUCAAAUAAGAAUAACGCAACCUCCAGGCUAUGUUAUUCGGGUGGAUCGCUGGACGUCUGCGGUGACGCAGAUGCAAGAUGAAUGGCUGCCAGAACAUUUUAAAUGUUUUACAGAAUCCGGCUUAUAGUUUCCACAAAAAC
rnacentral:RNase_P_RNA from 1 species